GGGGGAUAACUACUGGAAACGGUAGCUAAUACCGCAAAAAGUCGUUUGACCUAAGAGGGGGACAUUCGGGCCUCUUGCCAUCAGAUGUUCUCGGAUGGGAUUAGCUCGUAGGAGGGGUAUGGGCUCACCUAGGCUACGAUCCGUAGCUGUUCUGAGAGGAUGACCAGCCACACUGGAACUGAGAGACGGUCCAGACUCCUACGGGAUGCUGCAGUGGGGAAUAUUGCACAAUGUGCGCCAGCGUGAUGCAGCCAUGCCGAGUGUAUGAAGAAGGCUUUCGGGUUGUAACGUACUUUCAGCGGGUAGGAAGGUGUUGCGGUUAAUAACCGCAUCACUUGAUGUUCCCUGAAGAAGAAGUAUCGGCUAACUCCGUGCCAGCACCCGCGAUAAUACGGAGGGUUCCAGCGUUAGUCGGAAUUACUGGGCGUAAAGCGCACGCAGGCGCUCUCUCACGUCUGAUGUGAUAUCACUUGGCUCAACCUGGGAACUGCAUUCGAAACUGUUAUACUGUGGUCUUGUAGAGGGGGGUAGAAUUCCGGGUGUAUCGGUGUAAUGCGUAGAGAUCUGGAGGAAUAUCGAUGGCGAACGCUGCCCCCUGGACCAACACUGACUCUCACGUGACGAUAGCGUGUGGAGCAAACAGGAUCACA
rnacentral:rRNA from 1 species